rnacentral:tRNA from 1 species
GCCUCUAUAGUGAAAUGGACAAUCACGCUAGUCUUCGGAACUAGAAUUACGGGUUCGAAUCCUGUUGGGGGUAC